rnacentral:rRNA from 1 species
GACGAACGUUGGCGGCGUGCUUAACACAUGCAAGUCGAACGGAAAGGCCCUGCUUUUGUGGGGUGCUCGAGUGGCGAACGGGUGAGUAACACGUGAGUAACCUGCCCUUGACUUUGGGAUAACUUCAGGAAACUGGGGCUAAUACCGGAUAGGAGCUCCUGCUGCAUGGUGGGGGUUGGAAAGUUUCGGCGGUUGGGGAUGGACUCGCGGCUUAUCAGCUUGUUGGUGGGGUAGUGGCUUACCAAGGCUUUGACGGGUAGCCGGCCUGAGAGGGUGACCGGCCACAUUGGGACUGAGAUACGGCCCAGACUCCUACGGGAGGCAGCAGUGGGGAAUAUUGCACAAUGGGCGGAAGCCUGAUGCAGCAACGCCGCGUGCGGGAUGACGGCCUUCGGGUUGUAAACCGCUUUCGCCUGUGACGAAGCAUGAGUGACGGUAAUGGGUAAAGAAGCACCGGCUAACUACGUG